UCUAAUGAUUGCUAAUUAUUCAUCUUUGUGCUUACAGUCAUGUUUUCUGACGAGGUACCUAUCGUGCAGAUUGGCAGAUUACUAUACUUGCACAUCUACGAAUUUCAUGAUUGAACACCAGGAAGCCGUUGUCGAACACUACUGCAACUGCUCGUAUUCUGAAGCCGUAACUGUAAGCGUUAACGUAUGAAGAAGAUCAUACCCUCCUCAUUACAGAUGGUGAACACUGUUACAAAUGUUACCCUUUUGCUUACGUACCGGGUAAGAUGUUAGGGGCGUAUUGUUGCGAUCUGAACGGGCUUUUGCCAUCAUACAUAGCUGUACAUACUGCGGCUGGUUGGGAGAACUGGUACGCACACGUUGACGCGGCUAGGGAGAUACUCCAAACUUGCUGUAUAGACGAUGGAACCUACACUUGUGCUGAGUGCUGCUACGAAGGUCACUGUUAUGACGUUUGCCCAUGAACUAAGCGUGUACUCUGUAAGCGUGUGAAAUUUUCCUUAAAUUAGCAAACUAGCAAAAUAAAAGUAGCAAACAGA